rnacentral:rRNA from 1 species
UACCCGUCAAUUCAUUUGAGUUUCAACCCUGCGGCCGUACUCCCCCAGACGGAGUGCUUAAAUGCGUUGGCUGCGGCGGUGAAAGUGUUGAAAACUACCACCACCUGGCACUCAUCGUUUACGGCUAGGGACUACCAGGGUAUCUAUCCUGUUUGCUCCCCUAGCUUUCGCGCCUCAGCGUCAGGAACCGUCCAGAAAGUCGCCUUCGCCACUGGUGUUCUUCCUAAUAUCUACGCAUUCCACCCGCUACACUAGGAAUUCCACUUUCCUCUCCGGUCCUCAAGACUCGCAGUUUCGGAAGCAGGCUCGGGGUUGAGCCCGGAGUUUUCACUCCCGACUUACAAGUCCGCCUACGCGCCCUUUACGCCCAGUGAUUCCGAACAACGUUUGCACCCUCCGUCUUACCGCGGCUGCUGGCACGAAGUUAGCCGGUGCUUCCUCUGGGGGUACCGUCAACGGGGCCGGUUAUUCACCGACUCCGGAUUCUUCCCCCCUGACAGAGGUUUACAACCCGAAGGCCUUCAUCCCUCACGCGGCGUCGCUGCGUCAGGCUUUCGCCCAUUGCGCAAGAUUCCUCACUGCUGCCUCCCGUAGGAGUCUGGGCCGUGUCUCAGUCCCAAUGAGGCCGGACACCCUCUCAGGCCGGCUACCCGUCGUCGCCUUGGUAGGCCGUUACCUCACCAACAAGCUGAUAGGCCGCGAGGCCAUCCUGUAGCGGCGGACCAUUUCCUCGAACUCCCAUGCGAGUGUUCGAGAGUAUCCGGCAUUAGCCACAGUUUCCCGUGGUUAUUCCGGUCUACAGGGCAGGUUCCUCACGUGCUACUCACCCGUUCGCCGGUCUCCCCAAACCCGAAGGUUCGGUUCUCCCUCGACUUGCAUGUAUUAGGCGCGCCGCCAGCGUUCGUCCUGAGCCAGAAUCAAACUCU